GUUACACCACAUUGAAACACCAGUUCCUGUGUGAUCACUGAUCUUCAGCAAUGUUGAGCCUGAUCAUUACCUAGAUGGGUGACCUCUUGGGAAUACCAGGUGCUGGAA